rnacentral:rRNA from 1 species
AACGAACGCUGGCGGCAUGCCUAACACAUGCAAGUCGAACGAGACCUUCGUGUCUAGUGGCGCACGGGUGCGUAACGCGUGGUAACCUGCCCUUAGGAUCGGAAUAACUCCCCGAAAGGGGUGCUAAUACCGGAUAAUGUCUUCGGACCAAAGAUUUAUCGCCUUUGGAUGUUCCCGCGUUGUUUUUGCUAGUUGGUAGUGGAAACGCCUACCAAGGGGACGAUCCAUAGCUGGUCUGAGGGGAUGAUCAGCCACACUGGGACUGAGACACGACGCAGACUCCUGCGGGAGGCAGCAGUGGGGAAUAUUGGACAAUGGGCGAAAGACUGAUCCAGCAAUGCCGCGUGAGUGAUGAAGGCCUUAGGGUUGUAAAGCUCUUUUACCCGGGAUGAUAAUGACAGUACCGGGAGAAUAAGCUCCGGCUAACUCCGUG